GGGAACGCUAUUCUUCCAAAGGGCAGUUCUGUUUAUUUUACUGCUCACUACAUACAUCGAAAUCCAAAAUACUGGACCAAUCCUCUGAAGUUUGAUCCGGACAGAUUUUUACCGGAUGAAAUAGCAAAGAGACAUCCAUGCACUUUCAUUCCUUUUUCAUACGGUCCCAGGAAUUGUAUAGGAUGGAAGUACGCUAUUUUCAGCAUGAAAAUUAUCAUCGCAACGAUUAUCAGAGAGUUCAAGAUAUUCAGUGAAUAUAAAUCCAUAGAGGAGAUAGAAGUGAAUUAUAUAUGCUCAGUAAAUUGAAAGAUCGCUCAAAAUUUUGGUUGGAACUCAGACAGUAGAAAUUAUUGUAUUCGUUUAUGUAUUCAAAGUGUGUUUGAAGGAGCAGGAAUUAGAAGCUAUCAUUUUUUUAUCUGAACAUGAAAUGAGAGUUCCACCUCAGAAAUGUAAAACUUCCACGAGUAUAAAUAUUCUUAUUGAAAUAUAUUAUUGAAAUUU